rnacentral:rRNA from 1 species
GGAUUAGAUACCCUGGUAGUCCACGCUGUAAACGAUGAGAACUAGACGUUGGGGUGAUAAAGCACCUUGGUGUCGCAGCUAACGCGUGAAGUUCUCCGCCUGGGGACUACGGCCGCAAGGCUAAAACUCAAAGGAAUUGACGGGGGCCCGCACAAGCGGUGGAGCAUGCGGUUUAAUUCGAUGCAACGCGAAGAACCUUACCUACCCUUGACAUCCUCGGAACUUGAUAGAGAUAUCUUGGUGCCCUUCGGGGAACCGAGUGACAGGUGCUGCAUGGCUGUCGUCAGCUCGUGUCG